GUGAAUCAUCGAAUUUUUGAACGCAAAUUGCGCUUCCUAGCAUCCCGGGGAGUAUUCCUGUUUGAGGGUAAGUAUUAACAAAAUAAUUGGUUUGGUUGCAAAUUGUGAGUUUUCCGGAGUUUGGGCUAUCUUAACUUUUUUGGUUAAGGGGUUUUAAAUUGACCUUUUUUGCGCAUUUUUAGACGUACAUAUAUUUUUUUUUUAUUUGUCUAUUCUUAAUGCCAAAAUC
rnacentral:misc_RNA from 1 species